rnacentral:piRNA from 1 species
UAGUGCGAUUUUCAUGCCAGCAUGUGCCAG